UCAGUGACGUCACUCACGGUCUAAAUUUGGCUGACACUAUUUCAAACCAGUGUUUCAAACACGUUUUGAUUUUUCAUUGUAAACAAAUAUUGAUUAAAAUUGUACUGUGAUUUCAGGAGUGUCUUAAAAACCCUCUAAAACAGAGGGGAAGUUCCAAGAAAAUUUCUAAUGGGAGCUGCUGACAGAGAUAGAAAACACAGUUUGUUUAUUUCUAAUAAGGAGCUGGAGGCUGUGGAGAAGCAGAUCCGUGACCUCGUGGAGAAGCAGGCCCAGCUGAGAGAGUGGAGAGCUGUGCUGGAAACAUUCAGGGGUUGACGCUCAUAAGUCCAGGGGCAGUUUGUGAAGACAGAUAAUCAAGAGAAGUCAGUUCCAGAUCCACCUUCCACACCAGACCUCUCUCUCACGAGGAUUGCUGUCUACUAGUAUAUUGUGUUCUCUUCAGACUUCGGGGGAUGCAGAUAUUACUCAGGGACAUGAACACUUGAAUAUUGCAAGAAUAGAGAAAGUAAGAAUUACUUAAGAUUUUAGAAUUUAAUGUUAAUUGCUUAAACAUAUAUACAUAUAUAUUUUUUUAGAUAUAUUUUUUGUGGCAGUGUGAACUGGCCAUAAUGCUGUAUGAUAGGUGUGAGAUUCAUUAAACUUGAUUUGCUAUAAUACAUCUGUUCAUAAGCUAUUGCAUAUUAUUUUCAAUGAAUUAUUUGUAGUGGUUUGGUUAAGGGUGUGAUUAGCUGACGUAUUAUUUGUGGGAGCUUGUGAUUAGUUGAUGAAUGUGUGCAUUGUUAAUGCUAAUAUUUAAAUGCAAUGUACUGAGUGCCUACUAAGACUUGCAUGUUGGAGCAUAAUGUUUUGACCCUGGAUGCUUACAGAAGGGUAUAGAUAUUUAAAUAUAUGGAAAUGUAUUUAUUAUUAAUAUAUCUCAAUCUAUGUGCUUCUGUAUGGGCUGAAUGCUUUCAAUCAUAUUUCGCUGUAUAUCCUAUGUUUUUAUUAAUAAUCUGGGUGUAUUACUGUUCAUAUUUGCUUGUUAAUAAAUUAACUGAAUUAA